CCCUCAGACUUCUCUUUUCCCAGGUGGGCCAGUUCUUGGCCUCGCGGGCUUACGUCAUGGGAGGAAUGCGGUGACGCGACGCUGCUCUUGUGACGUCGACGACGAAGGCCGGGCUCCCGGUUCGAUGAUGUCAUCGGGUCCUUUUUCCUCCCCCUGCUGCCCUGCGAUGAAGUUCUCAAGCCACAGCAGGGACAAUGCCAAAUCCUUGACCUUCUGAGCCAUGAGGGAACUUCCACAAGAGCUUUGAAAAGGUGAGAUCUCCAGCAUUUGUUGUUAUGUGGAGUGGGGGGGUGGGUGGAGGGAGGAAGGUGCAGAAGAACAUAUGAAACAUGCUACCUUGAACUGAAGUUCUGACACAUGCUACCACAGGGAUGAACCUUGAAACAUUAUGCCAAAUGCAAGAAGCUGGACCUAAAAGGGUAAAUAGUGUCUUGUUCUGCUUUACAACCUAUGUAGAAUAAGCACAUUCAUAGAGACAAAAAGUAGAAUGAUGGUUACCAGGAACUGGAGGGUGGAGUGGAGGAAUGGAGAAUUAUUGUUUAAUUAGGUAGAGUUUCAGUUUGGAGAGAUGAAAAAUUUCUGGAGAUGGCUAGUGGUGAUGGUUGCAUGACAAUAUGGAUGUCUUAAUGCCACUGAACUGUGCACUUAAAAAUGGUUAGGAUGUGGAGUUCCUUGUUGCCACAGUAGGAUAAGGAUCCAGCAUUGGCACGGUUGUGGCUUGAGUUCAGUCUCUGACCCAGGAACUUCCACAUGCCAUGGGCUUGCCCCCUCCCCUCAAAAAAAGGCUAAAAUGUUAUAUUUUAUCACAAUUAAAAAACAGCUUUUUUUUUUUUUCCCCUGCACCCACAGUACAUGGAAGUUCCUGGGCCAGGGAAUGAACCCACACCUCAGCAAUGACGCAAGCUGCUGGAGAGACAAUGGCAGAUCCUUAACCAUAAUGGCCACACAGCAGGAACUCUAAAAAACAACUUUUUAUUGCUACCUUUAAUGUAAAAGCAGAUGAGGGGGGAGGGAUAAGGACUUGUAUUCUUAUUUGUUUGUGUAUGGGCACAGAAAUUCUGGAAAGAUACUCAGGAAAUCAGGAGCAGUGGGUUUCCUGUGGGGAAAAGGAGGGGAACUAAGACUUGGGAAAUACUGCAGUGUAAACUUUAUGCUUUUUGUUUGUGCAGCACAUGAAUGCAUCCACUAUUCAAAAAUAAAAUUAGUUAAGAAAUAUGGAGAAUGGCUUUAUUUAGGAUUAGUAAGAUUUGAGUUAAAAAGUAAAAAAAAAAAAAAAAAAAAAAAAAAG
rnacentral:lncRNA from 1 species